UCUCUUCCUCCUAGCAUAGCCUCUAAACCAGCAGGAACUCUUGUAUCUGCUUAUGACAAGCUUUACUAUGUUGCACUUCCAGGGUCCUCACCAUCAAUUAAGGAGCCCUCCUUCGAGAGAUAUGAUCCUGAUGAAGACGUUUGGGAGCGAAUGACUUCUUUUCCAUUUUAUCAUGACUGUGGAAGCCGUAUGAAAAUAAUUGGUUAUGCCGUUUGUUAUGGAGUCAUUUUAUUUUCAUUGUCGGACUCCUACAUGAAUCCAUAUGUCGUUGCUUUCCAUGAGAGUAGAAACCAAUGGAAUCAAGUGACUUCUGCUUCUUAUGCUUCUUUCCGAGGGAGGGCCGUGGUUGUAGGCGACACUAUCUAUGCCUUACAUGCGCUUAUAGAGGAGGUGAUUAUAACAUUCUCAUUAAGGAUGGACAAAGGUGAAGACGGUGGCAUUGCAUAUUCCCUAAGCCCACUGUUUGUAUUGCGUGGCCUGAAGAUUGCAUGUCCGCCAGUGCGAUUUAAUAAGCUUAAGACAGGGUAUUUGGUUCAUUUGGGUAACAGAGACUUCUUUCAUGUCAAGUCUGGCAGUCCCAAUGAAGAAGCACUUCCCGUGGUUCAAUAUCUUUGUAUCACAACGUUUCAAAUUGUUGAUGGAGAAGGAGGAAAACCUAUGAUCAAAACCAUACAUUCAACUGUUCAUCCUGUGGAUAUCAAGGGCCGUGAUUGGUUCUCACUUGAAUUCUGCUUCACGCCGUAAGUUUUCUUCACGUUUAUUGUGCUUUCAUCAAUAAAGUGACAUGUGUACGUUGGAAUUAUUUUACAUUUUAUUUGUAAUAAGGUUUCUGAUUAUUAUGACUCAGUGAGUUUGGGGAUUAUGAACCCAUAGAAGUGGAGAGUGUGACUAGUAUGAAUCAG
rnacentral:lncRNA from 1 species